rnacentral:rRNA from 1 species
CCUACGGGAGGCAGCAGUGGGGGAUAUUGCACAAUGGGGGGAACCCUGAUGCAGCGACGCCGCGUGGGUGAAGGAGCGUUUCGGCGCGUAAAGCCCUAUCGGCAGGGAAGAAGGAGGACGGUACCUGACUAAGAAGCCCCGGCUAACUACGUACCAGCAGCCGCGGUAAUACGUAGGGGGCAAGCGUUAUCCGGAGUUACUGGGUGUAAAGGGGGCGCAGACGGCAGCGCAAGCCAGGGGUGAAAGCCCGGGGCACAACCCCGGUACUGCUCUUGGAACUGGGAGGCUGGAGUGCAGGAGGGGAAGGCGGAAUUGCUGGGGUAGCGGUGAAAUGAGUAGAUAUCAGGAGGAACACCGGUGGCGAAGGCGACCUGCUGGACUGCGACUGACGUUGAGGCGCGAAAGCGUGGGGAGCAAACAGGAUUAGAUACCCUAGUAGUC